UACGGAGGGUGCAAGCGUUAUCCGGAUUCACUGGGUUUAAAGGGUGCGUAGGCGGAUAUGUAAGUCCGUGGUGAAAUCUCUGGGCUUAACCCGGAAACUGCCAUGGAUACUAUGUGUCUUGAAUGUUGUUGAGGUGAGCGGAAUGUGUCAUGUAGCGGUGAAAUGCUUAGAUAUGACAUAGAACACCAAUUGCGAAGGCAGCUCACUAAGCAAAUAUUGACGCUGAGGCACGAAAGCGUGGGGAGUCAAACAGGA
rnacentral:rRNA from 1 species